GUGUUCUUUGUGUAGCUGGAUUCCCGCUGUGGAUGGAGCUGGGAUUUUGGGGCAAAGCCCCAAAGUGAGCCCAGUCCCAUUCAGGAGGCCCUGAGACAAUCACUGGGGUAGAGUUUGGACAACUCAGGAGUCUUGAGCCUUCUGACUACCAAAUAUGGGCUAAAAGCAUCUCAAAGGAUCAUCUAGUCGGAUGGACCUAUAAUGCUUGAACUGUCCCCAUCUCUCAUCUUGGUGCCAAAAUCAAGGUUCACCCCAAGCGUGGCCCCUAAACCUUUACAAGGAGCUCCCGUUAACCCUAGGCAACUCACAAUUUUGACAGCCAAAUACUUAAGGAGCCUGUCCCUGCGUUUCAGCGCCUUCCAGCAAGUCAAGUGGUCACAUGUCUGAGGGUGAAUGGUCCUCCGAAGAUUCCUCCAGCAUAAUCCCAGCAAUCCUAGCCAUUAAACACCUAGCUAUCCUCUGAACACCUGCAUUGGAUCUCUGACCCCUAAACAAGCACAAUUCUCAGUGCUCCCUCCAUCCAGGGAAGGGGACCAACACCAUAAAUAACUCCCUCAUUCUGGGACUCCGCUUCUGAGAAAGGAGGGACUGGAGAUCAAGUCAGUCAGCCCUGGUCUAUGAGUUGGUGAAUGGUGCCCAUGCAGUAAAGCUUCCAUAAACCCAGCCAGAGGAGGUCAGAGCACUCUCAGGGCUGCACUGGCUGGGGCAGUCAGCGUCAGGACUGGGCUGGAUUACAAAAUGCUCUGCUGAUGUCCACAGAGCAUCAGAGAAUUGGCUGUGCCACAAGAAGAAGAGGAAGGGAUGGGGGAAGCAGAGGAACAAUUCCAGUACAGCAGCCACUUGAGGAGAGUCACAGCAGAAGACAGAAGGACAGCAGAGGCCUUCCCCGGGCAUGGACAAGACCAGAGGUAAGUUGAGUCACAGUGGCUAUGCCACCAGACUUCCUGGUUACCCUGAGGGUCAGAGUCUGGA